CGGUAGCUAAUACCGCAUAACGUCGCAAGACCAAAGAGGGGGACCUUCGGGCCUCUUGCCAUCGGAUGUGCCCAGAUGGGAUUAGCUAGUAGGUGGGGUAACGGCUCACCUAGGCGACGAUCCCUAGCUGGUCUGAGAGGAUGACCAGCCACACUGGAACUGAGACACGGUCCAGACUCCUACGGGAGGCAGCAGUGGGGAAUAUUGCACAAUGGGCGCAAGCCUGAUGCAGCCAUGCCGCGUGUAUGAAGAAGGCCUUCGGGUUGUAAAGUACUUUCAGCGGGGAGGAAGGGAGUAAAGUUAAUACCUUUGCUCAUUGACGUUACCCGCAGAAGAAGCACCGGCUAACUCCGUGCCAGCAGCCGCGGUAAUACGGAGGGUGCAAGCGUUAAUCGGAAUUACUGGGCGUAAAGCGCACGCAGGCGGUUUGUUAAGUCAGA
rnacentral:rRNA from 1 species